CUGGGCUCGAAGCACAGUGGACCGGGGUAGAAAUAUCCCUUUUCGCAAGAACUGCUGUGGAGGUGCUGCAUGGCUGUCGUCAGCUCGUGUCGUGAGAUGUUGGGUUAAGUCCCGCAACGAGCGCAACCCUUAUCAACAGUUGCCAUCAUUAAGUUGGGAACUCUGUUGAGACUGCCGUUGAUAAAACGGAGGAAGGUGGGGAUGAUGUCAAGUCAUCAUGGCCUUUAUGUUCAGGGCUACACACGUGCUACAAUGGCCGGUACAAAACGUCGCAAUCCCGCAAGGGGGAGCUAAUCGCGAAAGCCGGUCUCAGUUCGGAUUGAAGUCUGCAACUCGACUUCAUGAAGUUGGAAUCGCUAGUAAUCGCAAAUCAGCACGUUGCGGUGAAUACGUUCCC
rnacentral:rRNA from 1 species